CCUACGGGAGGCAGCAGUAGGGAAUCUUCCACAAUGGGCGAAAGCCUGAUGGAGCAACGCCGCGUGGGCGAAGAAGGUCUUCGGAUCGUAAAGCUCUGUUGUAAGGGAAGAAUAAGUGCAGUAGUAACUGGCAGCACCUUGACGGUACCUUACUAGAAAGCCACGGCUAACUACGUGCCAGCAGCCGCGGUAAUACGUAGGUGGCAAGCGUUGUCCGGAAUUAUUGGGCGU
rnacentral:rRNA from 1 species